UACGUAGGGCGCAAGCGUUAUCCGGAAUUAUUGGGCGUAAAGAGCUCGGAGGCGGUUUGUCGCGUCUGCCGUGAAAGUCCGGGGCUUAACCCCGGAUCUGCGGUGGGUACGGGCAGACUAGAGUGCAGUAGGGGAGACUGGAAUUCCUGGUGUAGCGGUGAAAUGCGCAGAUAUCAGGAGGAACACCGAUGGCGAAGGCAGGUCUCUGGGCUGUAACUGACGCUGAGGAGCGAAAGCAUGGGGAGCGAACAGG
rnacentral:rRNA from 1 species